rnacentral:lncRNA from 1 species
GGAAUUUAGGAGCCAUCUCCUAUUUCUGGAGAAGUGUGAAUGAGAUCUGUAAGAUGGUUCCAUUAUGUUUAUAAAACAUUAUAGUUGGGAGCAGUAUAACGGUGGUCCACAUGGUUGCUGUAUGGACAGUAGAGAGGACAUGGAUUUGUCGUUUGUCAUGCCCCUUUGCUGCCAGCUGUUGACCGUUCUCCUUGAACUCCGCCUCCCCUCUCUGCAUCUUCCUACAUCCGAAUGCUGGCAUCCCCUUCCUGUUUGACCUGACUGUGCCACAGGCCCCUGUGCUGUUAGAGAGCAGAUGCUGGAAGAGUGUGGGACUGCUGUAACAAUUGUCCAAACACAAAGUGUGUCCCUUGCUGACAUGAGUAGCCUGCAUGGUCAUCACCACUCACCCGGACACCCCAAGCCCCUCAUACUCAUCAAUGCAUAGGUCCUUGUAUGGCACAAAGACUCAACCAAAUGCUAUUGUCAGUCAGGCUGCUCCAAGGCAUAGCGAUUGGUCUCUACUAUGUCUCCCACCAGCUCCUCUGUCAGAAACAACUUGAAGCACUCUGCCUCAGAUGAAAAUGGCAAGGGGCGUUGCACUCCAGACUGGGACUCAUCAAAGCAAACAGCAGGGCCAGGACGGGUGAAACGGCUGGCAGCCUUCCAGCUACCACAGAACUCCUGUACUUCAUCCACUGUUGGCCUGCACUCCAUCACCACCAGCAUCUUCAAAGGGAACUGGGACUAUGUCAGUGGACAAGGGGUCCUCAGAUUCAGGAUUGGGGUAGCUCCUCACUGUUACUGUCAGAAUCUGAUUCCUGACUUUCAUACUCAGACUCAUUGUCAGAAUUAAAAAAAAUAUCCA